rnacentral:rRNA from 1 species
AGAAUCAACGCUGGCGGCGUGCCUAACACAUGCAAGUCGAUCGAGAAAGUGGAGCAAUCCAUGAGUAAAGAGGCGCACGGGUGAGUAACACGUGACUAACCUACCCUCGAGUGGGGAAUAACCUGGGGAAACCCGGGCUAAUACCGCAUAAUACCCACGGGUCAAAGGAGCAAUUCGCUUGAGGAGGGGUCGCGGCAGAUUAGUUAGUUGGCGGGGUAAUGGCCCACCAAGACGAUGAUCUGUAUCCGGCCUGAGAGGGCGCACGGACACACUGGAACUGAAACACGGUCCAGACUCCUACGGGAGGCAGCAGUGGGGAAUUUUGCGCAAUGGGGGAAACCCUGACGCAGCAACGCCGCGUGGAGGAUGAAGUCCCUUGGGACGUAAACUCCGUUUCGACCGGGACGAUAAUGACGGUACCGGAUGAAGAAGCCCCGGCUAACUUCGCGCCAGCAGCCGC